rnacentral:rRNA from 1 species
UACGUAGGGUGCAAGCGUUGUCCGGAAUUAUUGGGCGUAAAGAGCUCGUAGGCGGUCUGUUGCGUCGGCUGUGAAAACCCGGGGCUCAACCCCGGGCCUGCAGCCGAUACGGGCAGACUAGAGUUCGGCAGGGGAGACUGGAAUUCCUGGUGUAGCGGUGAAAUGCGCAGAUAUCAGGAGGAACACCGGUGGCGAAGGCGGUUCUCUGGGAAUAUCCUGACGCUGAGGAGCGAAAGUGUGGGGAGCGAACAGG